AACGAACGCUGGCGGCAUGCCUAACACAUGCAAGUCGAACGCGACCUUCGGGUCUAGUGGCGCACGGGUGCGUAACGCGUGGGAACCUGCCCUUAGGUUCGGAAUAACUCCCCGAAAGGGGUGCUAAUACCGGAUAAUGUCUUCGGACCAAAGAUUUAUCGCCUUUGGAUGGGCCCGCGUUGGAUUAGCUAGUUGGUAGGGUAAAAGCCAACCAAGGCGACGAUCCAUAGCUGGUCUGAGAGGAUGAUCAGCCACACUGGGACUGAGACACGGCCCAGACUCCUACGGGAGGCAGCAGUUGGGAAUAUUGGACAAUGGGCGAAAGCCUGAUCCAGCAAUGCCGCGUGAGUGAUGAAGGCCUUAGGGUUGUAAAGCUCUUUUACCCGGGAUGAUAAUGACAGUACCGGGAGAAUAAGCUCCGGCUAACUCCGUG
rnacentral:rRNA from 1 species